AGCAACGUGGCUUAGUGGAAAGAGCGUGGGCUUGGGAGUCAGAGGACGUGGGUUCCAAUCCCACUUUUGCCC
rnacentral:tRNA from 1 species